UUGUGUUUUUGUUGAAAUUUGCUGUUCUCUUUAUUUUGUCCAUUAUAUUGUGCUAUACAGUGAGAGAGCAGCCAGUUAUCAGACACAGGGACUGAAGGGGAAGAUGAAGAUAGCCUUCUUGUUCCAUAAGAAGUGGGAGGUGAAGGAGACAGGACGACUGAUUCAGGAAGAUAACGUGGUAGCUUACAACCUGGAGGAUAAGAGAGAUCCUUAAAGGUGAGAGGCAGUUCUUGCAUGACCGGUGGCUAUCACCAUACAUUCGCUACAGAUUAAAAGCAUGAAACAGCAUGGAGAAACACAGGAAAGCUUGUCUCUGCAGUCAGGCAAAGAUGAGGGCAUGAAGAUGUAUAACUGUCCCAGGUGUGAGACGAGUACAGUUUACCCUCUCAGGAUUUAUAACAGAUAUUCCUGUUCUCUGGUUCCAUAACCAUCAAUGAGCAAUGAAAUUCCAAG
rnacentral:lncRNA from 1 species